GUUUUCAAUAAGAUCUUCCUUCUUAGUUCUCAAUUGGUUAUCCAGUUAGUAAGUUAUCUGUUUUAUAUGGAAGGAUUUCCAUAUUUUGUGGAUGUAAUUCUUAGGACCUGAUCAAAAUACAGAAGAAGAAGGGGAAUGGAAAAGAUAUUUAGCUGGGAAGGAAAAAAGAAAGAAGAAGAAAGAAAGAAAAGAGAAAAAAUAGAAAAUUUGGAUCAGUAAAGAUGCUGAAUUAGAUAAAUAUGUUAGAAAUUCUAGGUCAUUAAAAUAUACUGUGUUACUAGAGCUAGAGGCUUUGAUUGGUCUCGUUCUUUGGAAAUUCCAGUCACAUGGAAGAAAAUCUCCACUUAAAUGUCCCUAGAACAGAUACUGACGAGGGUGUAGACUGAUGCUAUCAACAUAUAUUAAAUGAGUAAUAUUCCCUUACUUUAGGAACUCCCCAGAAUUAUUAACCCCCUCCACAUACACACGAGUUUCAUUUUUCUUCAUUGUGUUCUAGACCCAUGUUCUUUUUAUGAGAAUUAUACAAGAUUGGAAUGAAGAAUAAACAAAGAAGCUACAGGUUGAAAUAUUAUAUUCUAGGUUCAGAUACAAAGAAUCUAAUUUCUUUUACUUUUAUUGGAGCUCAAUUUGCCAACAUACAGCAUAACACGCAGCGCUCGUCUCAGAAGCGGGCCCCGUGCGUAGAAGGGAGCGACUCCCGUGGUGGGGUCGCCAGCGCCUCGCCCUUCCUGCUCCUCGUCCGCACUGGCCCGGUGGGCCGACCUGCUGCCUUGACUCAGCGCUUCUGGGGGGUGCCUGGGCGGGGCCACCUGCUGCUCCGGGCUCCUCCCGGGGCCCCGCCCCUCCGCGGCCCCGCCCCUCCGCGGCCCCGCCCCUCCGCGGCCCCGCCCCCGCCGGACCCUCGCCCCUUCCACGGCCCCGCCCCCUCCGCCGCCACGCCGCGUGCACCAAGCUCUUUCCCAGCGCAACCGCCGUCUUCAUCAUCUCCGCCGCCUCCUGGCCGUUGCCGGCGCCCCGCAGCCUCCGAUGGGGCAGCCUCCAGCCCCUGCCCCGCGCGCCGCCUGCUUAAGGGGCUGGACCCCUGGACCCUGAGGUCACCAGCCCAGCGGACUGAGUCACCCAGGAUCUCCUGUGGAAACAACGAAAGGAAAAACAAGCAGACAACCUGGGGACAAAUGCCCUGGAAAACGGGUGAAAAUAUUUACCAUCUUCCAUAGCAAGAACUUGACCAUCAGCGGAGAUGGAGAGAGGGUAACAUGAAAAUUGAUUCAUUAAAUAGCCUCAAGAAAUCUUGUCCUAGGGCCACCUGGGUGUUUCUGUCAGCUAAGUUUCUGCCUCCUGGUUUUCAGCUCUGGUCAUGACCUCAAGGUCAUCAGAUUCACCCAUAUUCAGCAUGGAGCCUGCUUCGUAUUCUCUCUUCCUUUCCCUCUGCCUGUCUCCUCCUUACACUUGCUCUUUUGCUCUCUCCACACACACAAAACAGAAUCUUUAUUCAGUUUUGCUCGGGGUGCCAUUGUUAUGACAAACCUCCUAAGCCGUAUUAUUUAUGUUUCAUGUGUCCACAUCUUAAUUUAAAAGGUCAGUCAUUAGUUUGUGGCCAAAAUAGUGAAAUCGCAUUGAGAACUCUAAUUUGGUCAGAUUUAAUGGGAGGGGUUGUGAAGAUAACAUUUGGACAUACUAGUCCGUGUUAAAUAUUAGCAAAAUGUUUUCUGUUUUUACAUUUU
rnacentral:lncRNA from 1 species